UACGUAGGGUGCGAGCGUUGUCCGGAAUUACUGGGCGUAAAGAGCUCGUAGGUGGUUUGUCGCGUUGUUCGUGAAAACUCACAGCUUAACUGUGGGCGUGCGGGCGAUACGGGCAGACUGGAGUACUGCAGGGGAGACUGGAAUUCCUGGUGUAGCGGUGGAAUGCGCAGAAUAUCAGGAGGAACACCGGUGGCGAAGGCGGGUCUCUGGGCAGUAACUGACGCUGAGGAGCGAAAGCGUGGGUAGCAAACAGG
rnacentral:rRNA from 1 species